GACGAACGCUGGCGGCGUGCUUAACACAUGCAAGUCGAACGGUAAGGCCCUACGGGGUACACGAGUGGCGAACGGGUGAGUAACACGUGGGUGAUCUGCCCUGCACUUCGGGAUAAGCCUGGGAAACUGGGUCUAAUACCGGAUAGGACCACUGCCUGCAUGGGUGGUGGUGGAAAGCUUUUGCGGUGUGGGAUGGGCCCGCGGCCUAUCAGCUUGUUGGUGGGGUGAUGGCCUACCAAGGCGACGACGGGUAGCCGGCCUGAGAGGGUGACCGGCCACACUGGGACUGAGAUACGGCCCAGACGCCUACGGGAGGCAGCAGUGGGGAAUAUUGCACAAUGGGCGCAAGCCUGAUGCAGCGACGCCGCGUGAGGGAUGACGGCCUUCGGGUUGUAAACCUCUUUCAGCACCGACGAAGCGCAAGUGACGGUAGGUGCAGAAGAAGGACCGGCCAACUACGUGCCAGCAGCCGCCGCCG
rnacentral:rRNA from 1 species